UGGUGUGUGAUGAUGAUUAGCUUGACUAGAGUCUCCGAUGGGCCCCAACCCCAGUUGAUGAUACAACCCUUGGCUGUCUGAACGCACCU